AGCACGUCAUGAUUAGCAUGGUAUGCUCAUC
rnacentral:snRNA from 2 species